GACGAACGCUGGCGGCGUGCUUAACACAUGCAAGUCGAACGGUGACGAGGAGCUUGCUCCUCUGAUCAGUGGCGAACGGGUGAGUAACACGUGAGCAACCUGCCCCAGACUCUGGGAUAACAGUUGGAAACAGCUGCUAAUACCGGAUACGAGACGGAGAGGCAUCUCUACCGUCUGGAAAGUUUUUCGGUCUGGGGAUGGACUCGCGGCCUAUCAGCUAGUUGGUGAGGUAAUGGCUCACCAAGGCGACGACGGGUAGCCGGCCUGAGAGGGCGACCGGCCACACUGGGACUGAGACACGGCCCAGACUCCUACGGGAGGCAGCAGUGGGGAAUAUUGCACAAUGGGCGAAAGCCUGAUGCAGCGACGCCGCGUGAGGGAUGACGGCCUUCGGGUUGUAAACCUCUUUCAGCAGGGAAGAAGCGAAAGUGACGGUACCUGCAGAAGAAGCACCGGCUAACUACGUG
rnacentral:rRNA from 1 species